UUUUAAUAGAAGAUACAUUGAAAAGUAGUUAUUUAGUAUUACUUGAUGACAAAUUUUAACUUUGGAAAUCAAAAUCACACUGUCAGAUAUUAAAAGUAAUGAAAACGACAACAAAACUAAAAGUAAAUUAUUUUUUAACUUUUUUUUAGCUACAGUUUUUGUAGUAUAAUAAUAUAUUAUGCAGUCUCUUUUUUAUUGCCAGCGGUUGUUGUAGCAGACAUCAAACUACCCAUUGUUUUAAGAAAGAGAGGUAAACCUUUCGGGGCAGAAACAUCAACUAUUGGUUUACUAAAAUUUCGUAAAACUCAAGGUCUCACUUCAUUUAUAAAGAUGUUGCCUCAUGAAAAAGAGAAAGCUAUACUGUCCUGGAGCAACAUUUUAUACCUGCUCUUAAUCAGGAAACACCACUUGAUGACAGUGUAAUCAAAAAGGAUCCGUCGCAAUAUCAUCCAGCAUAAGCAGACGAUUUUAAUUUCAACAUUAUUAAAAAGUAUUUCACUGCACGAGCCUGGAGAUCAGUGGAAAACAUUAUUCGGACGUUUCGAAAAUCGGCGACUUAUUGGGUGCUUCGAAUGUUUUUCUACGAAUGAAGAGAACUCCAUCCAAUAUGAUAAAUGUUGAAAAUUGUAUCAUUGGUCGUGUGUCUUAGUAAAGGAGCCUCCUAAAACGAAGCAUUGGUUUUGCAGCUAUUGUAAAAUACUUGAGAAAAAAAAGCAAAAAAAUGUAAA